rnacentral:ribozyme from 14 species
AAAAAUUGGAAGCUACUCUUGCUAUCCAGCCUGCUAUUGUUGUUUGAAGAAGUAAAGUGAAGAACCGUUUCGAUUAUAUGAUGCACAUAGUCUACCCAGAUAAAAACGAACGUAAAAAAGAUCUCCAGUAUCGUGAUUAAUUAAUCUCACACAUACAUAUAUACAUACAUAUACUACUGUUCCUUCUUCUCGACAG